rnacentral:rRNA from 1 species
GACGAACGCUGGCGGCGUGCCUAAUACAUGCAAGUAGAACGCUGAAGGAGGAGCUUGCUCUUCUGGAUGAGUUGCGAACGGGUGAGUAACGCGUAGGUAACCUGCCUGGUAGCGGGGGAUAACUGUUGGAAACGAUAGCUAAUACCGCAUAACAGUAGAUGUUGCAUGACAUUUACUUGAAAGGUGCAAUUGCAUCGCUACCAGAUGGACCUGCGUUGUAUUAGGUAGUUGGUGGGGUAACGGCUCACCAAGGCGACGAGUCAUAGCCGACCUGAGAGGGUGAUCGGCCACACUGGGACUGGGACACGGCCCAGACUCCCUCGGGAGGCAGCCGUAGGGGAUCUUCGGCAAUGGACGGAAGGCUGACCGAACAACGCCGCGUGAGUGAAGAAGGUUUUCGGAUCGUAAAGCUCUGUUGUAAGGGAAGAACGAGUGUGAGGGUGGAAAGUUCACACUGUGACGGUACCUUAAGAGAAAGGAACGGCUAACUACGUG